CCUACGGGAGGCAGCAGUGAGGAAUAUUGGUCAAUGGCCGGAAGGCUGAACCAGCCAUGCCGCGUGAAGGUCAGUGCCCUAUGGGCGUUAAACUUCUUUUGUGCGGGAGCAAUAAUGGUCACGUGUGGCCAGACGAGAGUACCGUACGAAUAAGCAUCGGCUAACUCCGUGCCAGCAGCCGCGGUAAUACGGGGGAUGCAAGCGUUAUCCGGAGUUAUUGGGGUUAAAGGGGGCGUAGGCGGGGAGGUAAGUCAGCGGUGAAAUGCCCCCGGUCAACGGGGUGAAGUGCCAUUGAUACUGGCUUGCUGGAAUGCGGAUGCCGUGGGAGGAAUGUGUGGUGUAGCGGUGAAAUGCAUAGAUAUCACACAGAACACCGAUUGCGAAGGCAUCUCACGAAUCCGCGAUUGACGCUGAUGCACGAAAGCGUGGGUAUCAAACAGGAUUAGAUACCCGGGUAGUC
rnacentral:rRNA from 1 species